rnacentral:rRNA from 1 species
CUACGGGGCGCACCAGUGGGGACUAUUGCACAAUGGAGGAAACUCUGAUGCAGCAACGCCGCGUGGAGGAUGACACUUUUCGGAGCGUAAACUCCUUUUAUAUAGGAAGAAGAUGACGGUACUAUAUGAAUAAGCGCCGGCUAACUCCGGCCAGCAGCCGCGGUAAUACGGAGGGCGCAAGCGUUACUCGGAAUCACUGGGCGUAAAGAGCGUGUAGGCGGAUUAAAAAGUCAGAAGUGAAAUCCUAUAGCUUAACUAUAGAACUGCUUCUGAAACUCUUAAUCUAGAAUAUGGGAGAGGUAAAUGGAAUUUCUGGUGUAGGGGUAAAAUCCGUAGAGAUCAGAAGGAAUACCGAUUGCGAAGGCGAUCUACUAGAACAUUAUUGACGCUGAGACGCGAAAGCGUGGGGAGCAAACAGGAUUAGAUACCCCUGUAGUC